GCCUACGGGAGGCAGCAGUAGGGAAUUUUCGUCAAUGGGCGCAAGCCUGAACGAGCAAUGCCGCGUGAACGAGGAAGGUCUUCGGGUCGUAAAGUUCUGUUGAAGGGGAAAAAGAGUGGAGAGAGGAAAUGGUCUCCGAUUGAUAUUACCCUUCGAGGAAGUCACUGCUAACUACGCGCCAGCAGCCGCGGUAAUACGUAGGUGGCGAGCGUUAUCCGGAAUGAUUGGGCGUAAAGGGUGCGUAGGCGGCCUGCUAAGUCUGGAGUGAAAGGUACCGGCUCAACCGGUACAGGCUCUGGAAACUG
rnacentral:rRNA from 1 species